GCAGUUCAGUGGUAGAGCAACUGCUUUACAUGCAGAAUGACCCAGGUUCAAUCCUGGCAUCUCCA